rnacentral:lncRNA from 1 species
GUGGAGAGAGUGUAGGAGAGGGUAGGUGCAGUGCUUCGCCGCUCCUUCUCUCGCCGUUCGCCUCGCUCUCCUCCCGCGCCCCACUUUCCCGUCUGCUCGCUCGCACUCUCGAGCGUUCGCUGG